rfam:Picoides pubescens contig98522, whole genome shotgun sequence.
UGCCACAAUGAUGACACUUAUUUGCUACUCUUGACCACGAGAGUGAUGAGUACUUCUACCACCAUAAAUUCAUGCUGAGGCA